UACCUGCAAACUUGAUUAACUUUUCUGUGUUACUGCCGAGCAAACCAAGGACCAUAGGUACUCAGCUGGAGCUUGCAUGGAGGAGAGUCGUUGUGGGACACAGAUUGUUGCGUGCCAUGUUCUAUUUGAGAAACAUUUGAACUUAUGUUAUAACUUUAAACUUAUGCUUCCGCUUGCAACUUAAACUUUGUUUGUUUGAAACACCAAUCGUAUUGGUUAAA